UACAGAGGGGGCAAGCGUUAUUCGGAAUUAUUGGGCGUAAAGGGCGCGUAGGCGGCUUUUCAAGUGACGGGUGAAAUCCCUCGGCUUAACCGAGGAACUGCCUGUCAGACUGGAAGGCUUGAGACCGGGAGAGGUGAGUGGAAUUCCCAGUGUAGCGGUGAAAUGCGUAGAUAUUGGGAGGAACACCAGUGGCGAAGGCGGCUCACUGGACCGGUAUUGACGCUGAGGCGCGAAAGCCAGGGGAGCAAAGCGGG
rnacentral:rRNA from 1 species